rnacentral:rRNA from 1 species
UACGGAGGAUGCGAGCGUUAUCCGGAUUUAUUGGGUUUAAAGGGUGCGUAGGCGGGAUGCCAAGUCAGCGGUAAAAAUGCGGUGCUCAACGCCGUCGAGCCGUUGAAACUGGCGUUCUUGAGUGGGCGAGAAGUAUGCGGAAUGCGUGGUGUAGCGGUGAAAUGCAUAGAUAUCACGCAGAACUCCGAUUGCGAAGGCGGCAUACCGGCGCCCUACUGACGCUGAGGCACGAAAGCGUGGGGAGCAAACAGG